AACGAACGCUGGCGGCAUGCCUAACACAUGCAAGUCGAACGAGACCUUCGGGUCUAGUGGCGCACGGGUGCGUAACGCGUGGGAACCUGCCCUUAGGUUCGGAAUAACUCCCCGAAAGGGGUGCUAAUACCGGAUAAUGUCUUCGGACCAAAGAUUUAUCGCCUUUGGAUGGGCCCGCGUUGGAUUAGCUAGUUGGUAGGGUAAAAGCCUACCAAGGCGACGAUCCAUAGCUGGUCUGAGAGGAUGAUCAGCCACACUGGGACUGAGACACGGCCCAGACUCGUACGGGAGGCAGCAGUGGGGAAUAUUGGACAAUGGGCGAAAGCCUGAUCCAGCAGUGCCGCGUGAGUGAUGAAGGCCUUAGGGUUGUAAAGCUCUUUUACCCGGGAUGAUAAUGACAGUACCGGGAGAAUAAGCUCCGGCUAACUCCGUG
rnacentral:rRNA from 1 species